UACAGAGACCUCAAGCAUUAUCCGGAUUUAUUGGGCGUAAAGGGUCCGCAGGUGGCUAUUCACGUCGGUGGUCAAAUCUUCAGGCUCAACCUGGGGACUGCCAUCGAUACGGUUUAGCUCGAGGCCGGGAGAGGUAAGCGGAAUUGCCGGUGUAGUAGUAAUAUGCGUUGAUAUCGGCAAGAACACCAAAUGCGAAGGCAGCUUACUGGAACGCGCCUGACACUCAGGGACGAAAGCGUGGGGAG
rnacentral:rRNA from 1 species